UACGUAGGGUGCAAGCGUUACCCGGAAUUAUUGGGCGUAAAGAGCUCGUAGGCGGUUUGUCGCGUCUGCUGUGAAAACCGGAGGCUCAACCUCCGGCCUGCAGUGGGUACGGGCAAACUAGAGUGCGGUAGGGGAGAUUGGAAUUCCUGGUGUAGCGGUGGAAUGCGCAGAUAUCAGGAGGAACACCGAUGGCGAAGGCAGAUCUCUGGGCCGUAACUGACGCUGAGGAGCGAAAGCGUGGGGAGCGAACAGG
rnacentral:rRNA from 1 species